GGGGUUAACUGGUCUAGGAACAGUGGGUUAACUGGUCUAGGAACAGUGGGUUAACUGGUCUAGGAACAGUGGGGUUAACUGGUCUAGGAACAGUGGGUUAACUGGUCUAGGAACAGUGGGCUACCCUGGCGCCCCACAGUAAAAUGAGUUGUUUUUACUACAAACAUUACAAUUAUUAUUGAUGAUUAUCAUAAUUGCUAUGGAUUUUACAUUUUCAUAUUAGUAUUAUUAGUAUUAUAAUUACGAUUUGUGUAAUUACACUUUCUCGCAUUUGUCACAAGAUAACAUUAACACUCUAUGGAGGUUAAAUCCUUAAGUAAUAUGGAUCCUCUGAGAUGCCAGAAAGCUCUUAAAAAACGAUCUGUCCUGGUCCCUGACAAUAGAUCCCUAAGAACUGUCCUGGUCCCUGACAAUAGAUCCCAAUAGAUCCCUAAGAUCUGGCCUGGUCCCUGGCAAUAGAUCCCUAAGAGCCAGAGGAUCCGGUUAAAGAAAUUAUAUAAUUGUUAGUUAUUAAAAGCAUUACUGUUACUAAACCAUCAUAGUUGUUACACUUUGUCCCAUGAUAUCUUUAUUAACAGGAUAACCUGGGGAAUUGUGCAUCUCCAAUGACAUGUCAGAAAGUGCUUAAAAAAAGGAUCCCUUCUAAUUCCUGAAGCCAUAGAUCCCUACUAAUCCCUGAAGCCAUAGAUCCCUACUAAUCCCUGAAGCCAUAGAUCCCUUCUAAUCCUUGAGGCCAUAGAUCCCUGAUAUCCCUGAAGCCAUAGAUCCCUUCUAAUCCCUGAGGCCAUAGAUCCCUUCUAAUCCCUGAGGCCAUAGAUCCCUACUAAUCCCUGAAGCCAUAGAUCCCUUCUAAUCCCUGGGGCCAUAGAUCCCUUCUAAUCCCUGAGGCCAUAGAUCCCUACUAAUCCCUGAGGCCAUAGAUCCCUUCUAAUCCCAGAGGCCAUAGAUCCCUACUAAUCAGUGGAUCCCUAUUUAAGCAGAAAUAACCCUGAUUAAAAACAGAGCUCAAUUUUCUUGGAAUCUUAUUGAUUUAUGACACCCGAUAAGGCCUUAGUGGGUUAGGAUUAGUUUAUUGAUUUAUGACACCCG
ensembl:lncRNA